CCUACGGGAGGCAGCAGUGGGGAAUAUUGGACAAUGGGGGGAACCCUGAUCCAGCGACGCCGCGUGAGUGAAGAAGUAUUUCGGUAUGUAAAGCUCUAUCAGCAGGGAAGAAAGAAAUGACGGUACCUGACUAAGAAGCCCCGGCUAACUACGUGCCAGCAGCCGCGGGAAUACGGAGGGGGCAAGCGUUAUCCGGAUUUACUGGGUGUAAAGGGAGCGUAGACGGCGAUGCAAGUCUGAAGUGAAAGGCGGGGGCUCAACCCCUGGACUGCAUUGGAAACUGUAAGGCUGGAGUGCAGGAGAGGUAAGUGGAAUUCCUGGUGUAGCGGUGAAAUGCGUAGAUAUUAGGAGGAACACCAGUGGCGAAGGCGGCUUACUGGACUGUAACUGACGUUGAGGCUCGAAAGCGUGGGUAGCAAACAGGAUUAGAUACCCGAGUAGUC
rnacentral:rRNA from 1 species